UACUAGUGUUAAAAAGAAUGGUCUCAUUGGUAAACAAUGCGUCACUUAGGGUAGGGAAGUGGAAGAGCCACACAUUCCUGUUGGACGAUAAACAGAAGUGAAGAGAUGGCUGUUGGAGUUGUUGUUGUCAGUUCUAAUAAAAAUGACAGACUUGAUGAAGGAGAGGAGUUGUUAGUUGAUCUGUGCGACACCGAGGAGCAGCUGGGGAACAUGACUGUGAGGGAACUGAGGGAGAAGAUUAACAACAAGCUGUUUCAGGAGUUUCCACCCAAACCAGGUUGUUAUGAUGGAUCGGUCGAUGAAGUGCACUUUAAGGAACAAAAGCUGGAGGAAGACUCCUUUCUGUCCGACCAUGGAAUACAGCACAUGUCAAUGGUUGAAGUAAAAAUUUCUAGUUCUAUACUAGAGAGUGAUUUUUUGGGAGCUAUAACCUAUCACGGAGGUUUUAAAAAAAAUUUGACUAAGGACAAAAAAGAUAAGAGACGCAGAAGCAAAGAGAUUUUGUUCGAUAUGGAACAGCCAUUACAUUUUUCUGGGGAACAAGAAAGGCGCUGCUCUUCCAAAGGUUGCUGUUUGUCUUAAACCUGCUUUUGCGCUACAGCACUAACAAGAAUCCAGAUCAGUUGAUGCUUCAAUGAUUUCUAAAGGAAAUCAGCAGAAUACUUAAAAUAAUGCCAAGAAAGCAAAUGUGAUUUGCUUUUCAGAGAACCACAAUCACAUAAUAUAGUACAAAAUAACUUAAUACAUCAGUUUUUACUCAACACUCCUGAAUACCACAGCCUGUUCAGCCACCAAAUAAUUAUCCCCCAAGCACUAGAAAUAAAUUAUCAAAGGAAAACAGAACCGCUGUCUCAUGGAUAUGUAUUAGAGGAAUAUGGGAAAAUAUUUCAUUCUAUAAAAAAGUUCAAGUAGGAUAGAUGUUGUACACCAGAGACAUCUAAAAGUUACUUUAGCCCAGGAAUUGAGGAGCCCUAAUAUAGAAUAAGGUUAUAAUAUUUUUUUUGUUACAGUUUAAUUUUAUUUUGUUCAUUUUUUGUUUGUCUUAUUCAGUUGGUUUUAGUUACUUUGUAGAAUGUGUUUUCUGGUUCUUAUUAGUAAAAUAUUGUUAAAUAUGUAUUCAAUUGUCUUUGAACAAGUGACUCUCCCAACUCUUGCUGUCAUCAUUUUGUGGACAAGCGCAAGUGUCGCCAGGAUGAAAAUGAAAUGCAGUAAUUUGGGGGAAGCUGGCGUAAACUGCUUGUUUGUGUGUGUGAGGAAUCAAUUUCACAUCAGUUUGAAUGACUAAUAAAUAGAUUCACAAACAUUAAAAGGAAUGAAAUGUUUGUAUUGUUUCCUUAAUCUCAAUUUUUGUUAUUUUGAAAGUUUUAGUUAACUAUAAUAACCUUAAUGUAGGUCAAACUAUAAUAACUGCACUUUUAACUAUAUAAAAUGAUGCACAAAGUCCUAUGAACAUAUAUUUGUUUCACACCUUUCUGACAAUUAUGACGCUGUUUUUGUCUGCAUGUAGAUUUUCCUUGAUUACUGAAAACUGUUUUUACAAGUGAAACAUUUUAAUCUGUUUAUGCUGAAAGUUGAUCAGUUUACUUAAUGAAAUCCAAUGUAAAGAAUUUUAUAAAGUGCAAAUUUAGUGGUGGGAUGUUUAUAGUGUUGCUCUUCUUCAUGAGUUGGGAUCAAGUUUUAAGGCUUCAUUAUAAUAAGAACUUUUGUUAAUUUCAUGCUUCCAAGUUAGUAGGAACAGGUUAGAGACGUUUCCCAUCCUGUUCAACAUGACUCUUUAUAAAAAAAAGAUAAAAAGAACAAAAUUGGAUGAGCAGGUUUGGUCUGAAACAACUUGACUGACCUGCACAGAGUCCUGGCUUCAACCUGACAGAGCACUGUGGUCGAUUUAUUACAGCUGAGGCUGUGAGCAAGACAUUCAUGUCCAACAUCAGAGUCUGAUCUCAUAAAUGUUCUUCUGCAAGACGGGAAAUAAAAAUUAUAGAAAGCUUUCCCAGAAGAGAUAAAAUGGUGACAGCUGCAAAGGAUGGACUGACAUCAUAUUAACAUCUAUAGAUUAACAAUUAGAUCCCACUCAAGUUUAUAUGUGUGUGAAGACAACGAGCUUACACUUUUGCCAAUGUAGUGUUGUUUUAUGUAAACAUUGAAAUAAAAGAACAACUGUGUAAAAU